GAGGGGUGCGGGAGGAGGGCGGCUACCUGCGUGGCGCUGCGCUGCGCCGAGCCGAGCCGCGGGGCGACGCCGGCGUCUCCGUGCCUGUCUUCGUGCCUGCCUGCCUGCCUCGGAGGCCGCCCCGGCGCGGCGGGCGCUGCGCCUCGCUGCCCGUCCCGAGCUUUGUAUGGGGAGAAGCUGUUCAUCUUUAAACCCACACAGUCACAGCUGGGAUCAGAAGAGUAUCCGGAGAGAGCCUCCACUGUGGAAACUUCAGGCCCCGAUGACAGCUUGAAUCUCCGUGUCUCCAUAUGAUGAUCUCAAUGAAACGUGCAAACAAUCAUUGUACAUGUAGUUGGAAGGCAAAAUGAAUUGUUGGGAUUCUGGAAAAGCAGGAUGCAAAGCUUCAUUUGUUGUUGUUGUGCACAUAUUUGUUUAUAAAUGUCCAAGUCCAAACUUAUUGUUUGCUUUAAUUAAUUUUAGAAAUACCUUCUCAGGCUUUUGGAUGAAGUGGUUUGAAAACAACCUGAAAUAAAUGAACUGAGCAAAAAUA